GGGGAUGUAGCUCAAUGGUAGAGCGCCUCCAUGGCAUGGAGGAGGUUGUGGGUUCGAGUCCCAUCAUCUCCA
rnacentral:tRNA from 1 species